AUCCAGUUGACGAGUCUUAAAUGGGACGAAAUGCACGUCCUGGAU
rfam:Schistosoma mattheei strain Denwood, Zambia genome assembly, scaffold: SMTD_scaffold0008763